rnacentral:rRNA from 1 species
UACGAAGGGGGCUAGCGUUGUUCGGAAUCACUGGGCGUAAAGGGCGCGUAGGCGGCUUGAUAAGUCGGAUGUGAAAGCCCCGGGCUCAACCCGGGAAGUGCACUCGAUACUGCCGAGCUAGAGUAUCGGAGAGGUUGGUGGAAUUCUCGGUGUAGAGGUGAAAUUCGUAGAUAUCGAGAGGAACACCGGUGGCGAAGGCGGCCAACUGGACGAAUACUGACGCUGAGACUCGAAAGCGUGGGGAGCAAACAGG